rnacentral:lncRNA from 1 species
UAAUAUUCAUGUGUGUCCUCACAUGAACUCCGACUAGGGACAAGUUUAGAAUAACCAUACCAGUAAAGAGUUUCACAUACAAUUCACAUAAUUGCAAAUCAAUUCAAGUAGCCUUUAAUGGAUAUUCAAUGAACACAAUAUACAAAUCAUGGAUACAAAUGGAAUAUCAUCAUCUCUAUGAUUGCCUCUAGGGCAUACCUCCAACAGUCUCCCACUUGCACUAGAGUCAAUCUAGAAGGUACCUCAUACCCAUAGCUCUUACAUGCGCAUCAUCUUGAUCAGAAAUGUUCAGAUCCGUGUGUAUUUUGCAUAUCUUGAUCUCAC